AUUGAACGCUGGCGGCAGGCCUAACACAUGCAAGUCGAGCGAGCGGCGGACGGGUGAGUAAUGUAUGGGGACUGCCCGAUAGAGGGGGAUAACUACUGGAAACGGUGGCUAAUACCGCAUACUAUCGGAUAACCCAUAUGGGAUUAGCUAGUAGGUGGGGUAAAGGCUCACCUAGGCGACGAUAUCUAGCUGGUCUGAGAGGAUGAUAAGCCAAACUGGGACUGAGACACGGCCCAGACUCCAAGGGAGGCAGCAGUGGGGAAUAUUGCACAAUGGGCGAAAGCCUGAUGCAUCCCUGACGCAUGUAUGAAGAAGGCCUAAGGGUUGUAAAGUACUUUCAGCGGGGAUGCGUUACGCGCAGAAGAAGCACCGGCUAACUCCGUGCCAGCCGCCGCGGUAAUUC
rnacentral:rRNA from 1 species